rnacentral:rRNA from 1 species
AUUGAACGCUGGCGGCAUGCCUUACACAUGCAAGUCGAACGGUAACAGGUCUUCGGAUGCUGACGAGUGGCGAACGGGUGAGUAAUACAUCGGAACGUGCCCGAGAGUGGGGGAUAACGAGGCGAAAGCUUUGCUAAUACCGCAUACGAUCUCAGGAUGAAAGCAGGGGACCGCAAGGCCUUGCGCCCACGGAGCGGCCGAUGGCAGAUUAGGUAGUUGGUGGGAUAAAAGCUUACCAAGCCGCCGAUCUGUAGCUGGUCUGAGAGGACGACCAGCCACACUGGGACUGAGACACGGCCCAGACUCCUACGGGAGGCAGCGGUGGGAAUUUUGGACAAUGGGCGCAAGCCUGAUCCAGCCAUGCCGCGUGCAGGAUGAAGGCCUUCGGGUUGUAAACUGCUUUUGUACGGAACGAAAAGACUCCUUCUAAUAAAGGGGGUCCAUGACGGUACCGUAAGAAUAAGCACCGGCUAACUACGUGCCAGCCGCCGCGGUAAUAC